GAUGAACGCUGGCGGCGUGCCUAAUACAUGCCAGUCGAGCGAACAGACGAGGAGCUUGCUCCUCUGACGUUAGCGGCGGGCGGGUGAAUAACACGUGUAUAACCUACCUAUAAGACUGGUAUAACUUCGGGAAACCGGAGCUAAUACCGGAUAAUAUAUUGAACCGCAGGGUUCAAUAGUAAGAUACGGUUUUGCGGUCACGUAUAGAUGGAUUCGCGCCGCAUUAGCUAGUUGGUAAGGUAACGGCUUAUCAAGGCAACGAUGCGUAGCCGACGUGAGAGGGUGAUCGGCCACACUGGAACUGAGACACGGUCCAGACGACUACGGGAGGCAGCAGUAGGGAAUCUUCCGCAAUGGGCGAAAGCCUGACGGAGCAACGCCGCGUGAGUGAUGAAGGUCUUCGGAUCGUAAAACUCUGUUAUUAGGGAAGAACAAAUGUGUAAGUAACUAUGCACGUCUUGACGGUACCUAAUCAGAAAGCCACGGCUAACUACGUG
rnacentral:rRNA from 1 species